rnacentral:lncRNA from 1 species
UCCCUUUCGCAUCGUCCAGGUCCUGGGGAGAGACAUUUAUUUAAAAGUAGCUGAAAUGAAGCACAGAAACAAACUGUCCUUCAAGCUCCCUGUCCUGUGACUGUGGAUGUCUCUCUGUUGUGGAGUGCUGAUCUUAUGGAAUGAUAUUAGUCUUCCUCAAAAGUAAUGAAACAGGCAGCGUCCUCCUGGAGCCAAAAAAGGAGCUGGUUUAAAAGUAUCUCAGCCUCCAAUUCUCCUCUCUAGGAUUUGGAUCUGGUUGUCUGCAACAACUACUACAAACCAGCUCGUGAAUGAAAGCUGGAUGAAGAAUUUCCUGCCUGCUCUGUCUUGGUGAAGCAGCAAAGAAGGAGGGAGAGCACUGCUUUUAAAGAG